rnacentral:rRNA from 1 species
CCCUUAGAUGUCCUGGGCCGCACGCGUGCUACACUGAUGCAUACAGCGAGUACUCCCAGCUCCGAGAGGCUGCUGGUAAUCAGCAAUAUGCAUCGUGAUGGGGAUAGAUCUUUGGAAUUAUAGAUCUUGAACGAGGAAUUCCUAGUAAUCGCAGGUCAUCACCCCGCGUUGACUAAGUCCCUGCCCUUUGUACACACCGCCCGUCGCUCCUACCGAUUUCGAGUGAUCCGGUGAAUCAUUCGGACCGCGGCCCCUAGGCAUGCGGAAAGUCUAGUAAACCAUAUCACUUAGAGGAAGGAGAAGUCGUAACA